UCUCUAAAGUUACAUACGUAUGACGCACACCUUUAAUAUUUUUGAUAUUUAAUAAAAUAAGCAAUUAAAUCAUAUGUAAAUUAGAUAUGAAUUUCACUACAGAAUGGGCUCAUACACAAAAUAUGCCAUUAUUUGAAGCUCAAUAGCAUUUGAAGGGAAUGACUUACAGUCAGGGCGCAUGGUGGCUUAGUGGUUAGCCUCACACCUCCAGGGUCGGGGGUUCGAUUCCCACCGUGACCAUGUGUACCCUGCCUUGUGCCUGAUGCUCCCUGGGAUAGGCUCCAGGUUUCCCCGUGACCCUGAAAAGGAGUAAGCGGUAUAGAAGAUGGAUGGAUGGACUUACAGUCAUAUAACCAACUGUAAACUGUUAAUCUAGGUAUCAGGUAUUCCACACACCUUUUAGUUUUUGAUAUUUAAUAAAUUAACUAUUAAAUCAUAUGUAAAUAUUGCCAUGUAUUUCACUACCGAAUAGUUUUUUUAAAUAUCCAUUAACUCUUAAUGGUAAAUUCUCAGCAAUUUUCCUGAGAUAGCGUGCUGAGCUCUAGACUGUUGAAACUCUUAAGAAGGGGGGAUGGGCUCAAGAGUCAAUUAAGAGUUGCAUGCUGUUAGCAGACUGCAGUAGGCAUCAUGGCCAGAUUUAAAAAGGGGAAACAUAAAAGAGAAAAUGACCUUUGGGCAAAGGCUGGUGGCAGAAAUCAAAUAGCUAAGGCUAUUUGUUAGACAUGGCGUUGGAAAAGGAAAGGCAAAGUGGUCCACCCUAGCUGUCUACAUUUUCAACGCCAAUCCACCGAAUGAAAAUUUGGCAAAAUGGCUGCAAACCGUUUGGACAGAGGACAGGAAAGGUGUUCGAGGACAGGUGCUUCAAACAGACAGAAGUUCUGGUAAGGCGAGUUGCUCACAGUAUGUACAGCAUGCAUAGAAACAUACAUGUUGGUUUUUCUUGAUGUUCAGAUAGGGAAAAUGUUGAGAAAGUUGAGGAAAUUGAUGAGGUGAGUGAAGGGCACAAUAAAAAUGAAACAAAGAAAAGAAUAGGUGAAGACUAUCCUUGUGACAGGGAAGAUGACAGGAACAGCACUGGUGAUAAAGAUGCAGAUGAGAAUGCUAAUAAUGAUGGCACAUGUUCAGGGCACAAUAAGCAGAACGGAACAGAGGAAAAGGGGGACAAGGAUUAUUCUUGUGACAGGGAAGUUGAGGCUGGAGACAGGAACAACACUGCAGAUGAAGAUGAGAAUGAUGAUGAGUCAGACACAGAAAACUGGAGGAAAACAAGGCCAGGUCCAAAGAUUUUUGUAGUGGCCAUAACAACAAAAAUUUGGGGAAAAAAUAAAGCCACAUGCAGGCUCAACUCAGUUACAACAGCCCUGGACAGAUGUCUUAUAUGAAGCGUUCACCAAAGUAAAUCCUUGCUGUGUCCUUUCAUUCAAGUAUCAACAUGUAAAAUGCAGGAAAAGUCGUAAAAAAAAAAAAGAAAAAAAAAAGAGCACUUUAUUUCAGGACACUUGCCGUUUGUAUCUUUGAUGAUUGCUCAGCAAAAUACAAAUUUACAAUUCGAACAAAGCCCAAACCAUUCCAGAAGCAUAUUAUUCCAGAAGCAUAUCCAUGUUAUGUGAAUGGUUGAUGUGACCCACAAGGAUAAAGAAUUGAAAUCCAGAAAUGCCAAAUUCACCAAAAGAGGAAAUAUUGCAGCAGCCAGCACUAUUAUGAAUCAUUGAGAAACACACUACCAGAUGAGAUUUUGGUUGGCAACAUCUCCAGAUGCCUUACUAUGGAUAUCUUAAGUGUAAUAUCUAGUGAAGUCAGGAAAAGCACCAGACUCCAUGAUGAUGUUAUCAUGGAGAUGAUGCUCUGCCAGAAGAUGAAGGAGUGCAGUGGAACUGCGUGACAAAUUGCAGGCUAUAUUCAACACUUACAAGUGGACCCAUUUGGUGUCCACUUGUACACAGAUUGUGGUCUGCGAAUAGUCGCAGAACAUUCGAAAAACUCACCCCCAGUCACAUUACAUCUAGAUGCUACAGGCAGUGUCAUAUCACGCAUCCCCAUCCAAACCAAAAGAAUCCUUUAUUAUGCCCUUGGUCUCCCUGGAAAGGGGAAGGAUAAGCCACCCCUUCCUGUGUCUGAGUUGAUAUCAAACAAGCACUCCAUACCAACUCUCAUGUUUUGGCAGAUGGAAACACUGAGACAACUGUGCCAGAUAACAACACGGAAGGUCCACGAGGUUGAAACCGAUUUUAGCUGGGUACUCAUUGGUAGUGUCCUCCUGGCCUUCGAUAAAGAAAGUGUCUCAUCCUAUAUAAACAGAGCACAUCUAAUUGUCAGCCAAAAAGUGAAAAGUGCAGAUGCAGUUAAUUUCACAGUGCUCCAUCUACGUUCAUCCCACAUAAUAAAGGCUGUAACUCAAGGAUUUUCAAAGACAACUGGCGAUGUAUGCUGUAAAAGAAUAUGCCACCUACUGUUUUGGCCUUCUUCUUAACAGCACCACCCUACAAGAAGCACUUAACCUCUUUCAGGAUAUGUCUAUGUUGUUCAUGUCAGCAAACAAUUCCAAUGCGGUUAUGGCAGCAAAAAACACACUGGACCAAAAAAUCCUGAAGUCCAAGCCUACUACUAUGGAUGAAAUACUUCCACCAUAUGUAGAAGACAUGGACAGGAGCAGCAACAGCAACAUCAAGACUAUAUGUGGCAAAUCUCCCUUCACACGUUUAUUCAGUGAUGAUGUAGGGAAGACCAGGUGUACACAGACAGAGAGUGUCAAAAAGAAUGAAUUCUACUGCCCAGGGAUCAUUAAUGUCCUCAUGAACAACUACAUGGCAUUUUCCCCCUUUGGAGUGGCAUACUGUUUGGGGACCUGAACAGAUCCUCCAAAGAGAAUACUAAAGAAAUAAAAAAACAAGGGAAACAAAUUGCCAUGUGGAGCAAUGGUUCUCAAUAGUGAAGAAUCACAUUUUACACAGAAAAAGGUUCCUGCGGCCUGCAGAUUUCAUUACUAAGAUGUUUAACUCUCUGCAAGGAAGGUACACACAGCAUCAGAUGAUGCAUAAUCUUGAUAGUCUGUCUCAAGGAACAUCUCCAAAGCAACAGACCAUUGAUCAACAAGAAGAGCAAUGGGCCAAGAGAUCCCAAUCUCAGAGUCCAGCAAAGCAUCGUUCAAAGUAUUUUGAUCCACCAGAAGCAGUGCCCCAACCAAAAAGACACAAGACAAAGCAAACAUCUGAGGAUCAUUCAGAGGACACAUCAGCCCAGAUCCAAGCUCUGUGGUCUAAGAAAGCAUGUGAGAUAGUCAUUGCCAUCACACAGUCAAAGGACAAAAAAGGUCUUAUAUCCUCCAUCAUUCAGAUCUGAAAACACUCCAGCCACAUAAAUGGCUGGUGGGGGAGACAAUCCAAAGCUAUUUUCAAGUGGUGGUGAAUAACAGAGACCAGGGACACAGGAUUUUUAUACUAGAUCACCACACAGUGAAUGUUAUACUUCAUGGAGAACGAGAUGAAGUACGGAGAAACGGUCUCUCAAAGGUGGACUUUGAUGACUACGAAGGAAUGAUAAGUUUCCUGAAUGUCAACGGGAAUCAUUGGAUAUUUUUGAAUACAUUUUAUAGUCCUUUUUUAAUAUACAUGAGACACUGUUACAUUACUCUAUUCUAUAGAGGAUGUUCAUAAAUUGGUUGGCUUGAAAAAUCACAUUGAAUAAAUGUUCAGAUGAGCCAAGACUAUUCAAACACCAACCAUCAAAAUUCAAAUAUAAACUAACCCGUACAAGGCCAUAUGCUUUUCACUGUGUCAACACCACACACAAGAGUCUGGAAUAGUUGAAUGAAUUAAUUCAUUCAUUCAUUCAUUUCUCCAUCCAUCCAUAAUUUUAAUUUUCAGGCCAGACCUUUUCAAACCAACCUCAAAGUUUUUCUACAAAACUUUGUUUUGUAGUUUCAUUCUAGAUUCAUCUAAUUUUUUUUAAUCUUGCACAGUAUCACCAUGCAGCAUCCAGCCAGGUGUUUGUGGUAGACCCAGCAGGACAUGAUGAAGAAGCAAAAUCCAUGCAUGCAGCCACUAGAUUUCAGUAAUAUUUUUAGCUUGUUAUAUACUGUAUUUACAAAGAUGGGUUACAAAUUAGGGGGAAAAAAGCAUGACUGCUUAGCCCCUAGUGUGAAGAGGCCCACUUCUUUUUGAUGUGUUUUCUUGUCACGGGGUAUUGAAUGGUGAAUGAUAUGCUAUGUCCUUUUCUAUCACCGGAUCUUUAGUAAAUUAAACAAAAAAUUUGAUUUUGGACCAUACUGUCAGCGCUCUACAGUAUCAUCUUGAAAAUGUAAAAAUUUAGAAAUAUAUUUUGAAAAAAUUAUGUUCUAUCCCUCCUGAGAGACUUGGUAUAGAUCUUGCAGAUCUCUGGAUACUUAACGAUUAUUUUUGUAAAAAUAAAAUGACAGGCUUUGAGUCUUUUACAUUAUGUAAGUAUACUAGUCUUCUCAUAAGGUUUUUUUUUUUUUAAUGCUGUCAAAUCCUUACAAUAAUUUUACUUAUUAACUUUUACUAUAUGUAGCAAGCAAUUCACAAUAAUUGUUAAGUGUAAAGUGAGUGAGAUAUGUAAAGACAAUAAUUACCAUAUACUACAUAUAUAGGAAAUUAGUAGGCAAUAAUGUUUUAAUGCUUAAUAUUAUCCUGUCAAUCAUUUUGAUUCGCUUAACACGAAUCGAACGAGGGGGUGUGGUCAACAGUAGGACAACCAAAGAUAGGAAAUCUACUUUUAAACUAUGGCUAGUUUUUUUUUAAUACAGUUAUAAAAAUGCCAAGAUAAGUACAUAACACAUAUUUAUUAUACUGUACAUACAUACAUACAUACAUACAUACAUACAAUGUACUACUAUAACAAAAUAAGUGUGAAGUUCAAGACAUGUGUAGAUGUUUGUAAUUAAAUCAUUUUCGUGAUGUCCCAAAUGACCAAAUAUAAUUCAGUAAUUCUAGGCAACGUGGUUCAGGAAAAAAAAUUUUUUUAUUAAAUAACAUGAAGGAGAUAAAUAAAGUGAAGGAUAUAAUGGAUGCAUGAAGGGAUGCCUGAAAUACGAUGUAUUGGUGGAUUUUAUGUGCAUUAAAUUAUAAAAACAAUUUAACGAAGCAUCUUAACGAAUAAAAGGAGAAUGCAAUGAUU